GUAAAUAUAGUCUAAUAAAGACUCUAGAUUGUGAUUCUAGCAACAGACGAGAAUAACGUCUUAUUCACC
rnacentral:tRNA from 1 species